rnacentral:rRNA from 1 species
UACCUGGCGGAUGUUUACACACUGCAGUCGAACGGCAGCACGGACUUCGGUCUGGUGGCGAGUGGCGAACGGGUGAGUAAUACAUCGGAACGUGCCCAGUCGUGGGGGAUAACGUAGCGAAAGCUACGCUAAUACCGCAUACGAUCUAAGGAUGAAAGCGGGGGAUCGCAAGACCUCGCGCGAUUGGAGCGGCCGAUGGCAGAUUAGGUAGUUGGUAGGGUAAAGGCCUACCAAGCCGACGAUCUGUAGCUGGUCUGAGAGGACGACCAGCCACACUGGGACUGAGACACGGCCCAGACUCCUACGGGAGGCAGCAGUGGGGAAUUUUUGGACAAUGGGCGAAAGCCUGAUCCAGCCAUUCCGCGUGCAGGAUGAAGGCCCUCGGGUUGUAAACUGCUUUUGUACGGAACGAAAAGGUCCUGGUUAAUACCUGGGGCUCAUGACGGUACCGUAAGAAUAAGCACCGGCUAACUACGUGCCAGCAGCCGCGGUAAUACGUAGGGUGCAAGCGUUAAUCGGAAUUACUGGGCGUAAAGCGUGCGCAGGCGGUGAUGUAAGACAGAGGU